UAUUAAUUGUUCUACGGUACAAUAGAGGAAUAUGAGCUCAUUCAUUCGUUCAUGUUAGCGUAUUAUGCAUGAGAGUAUUAUCUUUUACUUUUUUAGGUCUGUGUGAAAAUGAUACUAAAGAAGAUCAUAAUGAAUUAUAGGAUUUGCAACUUCCAUUAUUGCCUUACCACCGGUAGGGACAUAGCAUGAAAAAUAAGAAUUAAAAGGCAACACAACAAUAAUUAUAUGUAAAUAAUUAAAUGUACAUGACACAAUUAGUUAGCCAUGCAUUUUAAUGUCAUUCGCAGUUUUCAAAUUAAAUUUACAAGAAUACUGUAUAUGUUCACUUGUAUGAUAGUCAAAAAUGCAAAUAAUGAAUGUUUUCUUUCGU